UACGGGGGGGGUAAGCGUUGUUCGGAAUUACUGGGCGUAAAGGGCUCGUAGGCGGCCAACUAAGUCAGACGUGAAAUCCCCAGGCUCAACCUGGGAACUGCGUCUGAUACUGGAUGGCUUGAAUCCGGGAGAGGGAUGCAGAAUUCCUGGUGUAGCGGUGGAAUGCGCAGAUAUCAGGAGGAACACCGGUGGCGAAGGCGGGUCUCUGGGCAGUAACUGACGCUGAGGAGCGAAAGCGUGGGGAGCGAACAGG
rnacentral:rRNA from 1 species